UACAGAGGUCUCAAGCGUUGUUCGGAUUCAUUGGGCGUAAAGGGUGCGUAGGCGGCGGUGUAAGUCGGAUGUGAAAUCCCGAGGCUCAACCUUGGAACUGCAUUCGAUACUGCAUCGCUAGAGUACUGGAGAGGAGAUUGGAAUUUACGGUGUAGCAGUGAAAUGCGUAGAUAUCGUAAGGAAGACCAGUGGCGAAGGCGAAUCUCUGGACAGUUACUGACGCUGAGGCACGAAGGCUAGGGUAGCAAACGGG
rnacentral:rRNA from 2 species